rnacentral:rRNA from 1 species
UGAGGAAAAGUUAGUAGUUAAUACCUGCUAGCCGUGACGUUAACAACAGAAGAAGCACCGGCUAACUCCGUGCCAGCAGCCGCGGUAAUACGGAGGGUGCGAGCGUUAAUCGGAAUUACUGGGCGUAAAGCGCACGCAGGCGGUUUGUUAAGCUAGAUGUGAAAGCCCCGGGCUCAACCUGGGAUGGUCAUUUAGAACUGGCAGACUAGAGUCUUGGAGAGGGGAGUGGAAUUCCAGGUGUAGCGGUGAAAUGCGUAGAUAUCUGGAGGAACAUCAGUGGCGAAGGCGACUCCCUGGCCAAAGACUGACGCUCAUGUGCGAAAGUGUGGGUAGCGAACAGGAUUAGAUACCCUGGUAGUCCACACCGUAAACGCUGUCUACUAGCUGUUUGUGACUUUAAGUCGUGAGUAGCGAAGCUAACGCGCUAAGUAGACCGCCUGGGGAGUACGGCCGCAAGGUUAAAACUCAAAUGAAUUGACGGGGGCCCGCACAAGCGGUGGAGCAUGUGGUUUAAUUCGAUGCAACGCGAAGAACCUUACCUACACUUGACAUGCAGAGAACUUUCCAGAGAUGGAUUGGUGCCUUCGGGAACUCUGACACAGGUGCUGCAUGGCUGUCGUCAGCUCGUGUCGUGAGAUGUUGGGUUAAGUCCCGCAACGAGCGCAACCCUUGUCCUUAGUUGCCAGCAUUCAGUUGGGCACUCUAAGGAGACUGCCGGUGACAAACCGGAGGAAGGUGGGGACGACGUCAAGUCAUCAUGGCCCUUACGUGUAGGGCUACACACGUGCUACAAUGGCAUUUACAGAGGGAAGCGAGACAGUGAUGUGGAGCGGACCCCUUUAAAGAAUGUCGUAGUCCGG